rnacentral:misc_RNA from 1 species
GAAAUGCGAUAAGAAGUGUGAAUUGCAGAAUUCAGUGAAUCAUCGAAUCUUUGAACGCACAUUGCGCCCCUUGGUAUUCCAUGGGGCAUGCCUGUUCGAGCGUCAUCUACACCCUCAAGCUCUGCUUGGUGUUGGGCGUCUUUGUCCCGCCUCCGCGCGCGGACUCGCCCCAAAUUCAUUGGCAGCGGUCCUUGCCUCCUCUCGCGCAGCACAUUGCGCUUCUCGAGGUGUUGCGGCCCGCGUCCAGAAAGCAAUCGUUACCGUCUUUGACCUCGGAUCAGGUAGGGAUACCCGCUGAACUUAAGC